AAGUCGUAACAAGGUUUCCGUAGGUGAACCUGCGGAAGGAUCAUUAACACGUAUCCAAACGUUAAAACCCCCCCCGUGAACCUUCAUCCUGCUCUUGUAACCCGCGUAGUUCGCAAUCUCUGAUAAAUCAUAGCCCGGAAAGUUGUAGUGAUUCAGAGACCUCUGGCUACGUGCGAACAUUGGAACAGUUACAAUCGAGCGGUAGUUCUAUAGGCAAUGUUUCCCCAAGCAGCCAGUGUCGGAAAGUGUCAUUGAUUGUGCAAGGAUAGCGCUUCUACGAUUCCUGUAGACCGUACACUCGGGCUAUUGUUAACAGUUGUUCGGUUUUUUCACCCAAUGUAUUGCAUUGAGCUUUGUGGGGUUAUUAGGGGGCAUGGGGACCCUUUGGCAAAGCUCCUGAGAUAUCUUGGUUCUC
rnacentral:misc_RNA from 1 species